rnacentral:rRNA from 1 species
UAAUUUUUAUUGAAUUUAACUUUUAAGUGAAAAGGCUUAAAUAUUUUAAAAAGACGAUAAGACCCUAUAAAGCUUUAUAAUUAAUUUUAUUUAAUUAAAUUAAAGAAUAAAAUUUUAAUAAAAUAUGUUAUUUUGUUGGGGAGAUAAGAUUAUAAUUAAAGAUAACUGUUAACAUGAAAUACAUUAAUAUAUGAAUAAAUACACUAAUAGAUCCUAAAUAAAGAGUUAAAGUUUAAGUUACUUUAGGGAUAACAGCGUUAUUUUCUUUAAGAGUUCAUAUCGAAAAGAAAGAUUGCGACCUCGAUGUUGAAUUAAAAUUUCUUGAUAAUUGCAGAAGUUAUUAUAGAAGGUCUGUUCGACCUUUAAAUUUUUA